UGUCCAAGCAUCAAGGCUGGCCAGUAGGAAAGACCGCUGGCUUAAAGGCUGAGGUGUGAUGGGGAGCGAAAUUAGAGUAGCGAAGAAUCUGAAUUCACACUGUCAAGAAAAGCUGCUAACGAGAUAUCAGGCGCCCGUACCGCAAACCGACACAGGUAGAUGAGGAGAGAAUCCUAAGAUGAGCGAGAGAAGCGUUGUUAAGAAACUCGGCAAAGUAACCCCGUAACUUCGGGAGAAGGGGUGCCACUGAAAGGUGGCCGCAGAGAAAUGGCCCAAGCGACUGUUUAGCAAAAACACAGGUCUCUGCUAAAUCGAAAGAUGAAGUAUAGGGGCUGACGCCUGCCCGGUGCUGGAAGGUUAAGGGGAAAGGUAAGCGCAAGCGAAGCUUUGAACUUAAGCCCCAGUAAACGGCGGCCGUAACAAUAACGGUCCUAAGGUAGCGAAAUUCCUUGUCAGGUAAGUUCUGACCCGCACGAAUGGCGUAACGACUUGGGCACUGUCUCAACAACGCGCUCGGCGAAAUUGUAGCACUAGUGAAGAUGCUAGUUACCCGCGAUUGGACGGAAAGACCCCGUAGAGCUUCACUGCAGCUUGACAUUGGGUUUUGGUAUUUCAUGUACAGGAUAGGUGGGAGACAGCGAAGCAGUAACGCCAGUUACUGUGGAGUCGGCGUUGGGAUACCACUCUUGAGAUACCGGAAUUCUAACCAGUGGCCAUGGAACUGGUCAUGGGACAUAGUCAGGUGGGCAGUUUGACUGGGGCGGUCGCCUCCCAAAGAGUAACGGAGGCGUCCAAAGGUUCCCUCAGAAUGGUUGGAAAUCAUUCGUAGAGUGCAAAGGCAGAAGGGAGCCUGACUGCGAGAGAGACAACUCGAGCAGGUACGAAAGUAGGGCUUAGUGAUCCGGUGGUACCGAGUGGAAGGGCCAUCGCUCAACGGAUAAAAGCUACCUCGGGGAUAACAGGCUUAUCUCCCCCAAGAGUCCACAUCGACGGGGAGGUUUGGCACCUCGAUGUCGGCUCGUCGCAUCCUGGGGCUGGAGUAGGUCCCAAGGGUUGGGCUGUUCGCCCAUUAAAGCGGCACGCGAGCUGGGUUCAGAACGUCGUGAGACAGUUCGGUCCCUAUCCGUCGCGGGCGUAGGAAAUUUGAGGAGAUCUGUCCUUAGUACGAGAGGACCGGGAUGGACGAACCACUGGUGUAUCAGUUGUCCUGCCAAGGGCAUGGCUGAGUAGCCAAGUUCGGGACGGAUAAGCGCUGAAGGCAUCUAAGCGCGAAACCGGCUCCAAGAUAAGAUUUCCCACAGCGUAGGCUGGUAAGACCCCAUGCAGACUACAUGGUAGAUAGGUCGGAGGUGUAAGCACAGCAAUGUGUUGAGCUGACCGAUACUAAUAGGUCGAGGGCUUGAUC
rnacentral:rRNA from 1 species